UCUGAUAUAACCUGAACUAUCUGGCAGCUCUCUGAAUUGGCAUCACACCAUGUGAAGUUGGCUGCGCUUAAUAGCCUUAUGACAGAUUUACUCACUGACUAAGUGCAAAAAGGGAGACAGUCUUAUGGGAAAAGCAUACAGUAAGAGCGAGAGGGAUACCUGCUUCAGCUUGGGUUUCCGGUGAAGCUUGGAACAGCGCUGCACGAGAAAUGAUCGUUUUUUACACUUUUCAGAUCCAAUUUGGCUGUCAAAUAAAUAAGGCAAUAAAAUUAACUUCCCAGUCAUUCCCAGCCAUCAGUUCAGAAGGGGGUGAGGGAAUCAGCCAGCGCCAGUGCAACGAAUACUGCCGAUACUCCUCCUCAGUCGGAGACAGCUCGAAAGUCUGGCUGGCAAAGGGAAAAGACAGUGCCCCUAAAGCUCGGCAAACGAUUUACGCUUACCAAGAAGCAAUAGGCCAUCUUCCAAAAAGUCAAAGUAUGUUUAGGAGAUGACAAGGAUGACAAUGCAGAAGCGCUGAAGUCAUUGGAAGUAGAUCAAAGUCUAGUGUCCGUGCUGCACCAGUUGACCAUCAGCAUAUCAGAAGCAUAUCUACAUAAAAGGGUUGUAUAUCAGCGUUUAAGCUCUUGUGAAGAAUCGCAGGAAAACAUCUGGCAUACUCCUGCUCCUCCUACUUCGAGGAGGGUGACGAAUAGAAUUAUAAGCUUCACUGGGACCCCUGGGAACUGGCAAGUGACAUAGUGGGCGGUACUGUGAUGGUCGCCAUGAGCUACGACAGAGCUACUGUAGAAUUAUUAGGAUGUUAAUUGACGGGCUCCGUCGCCACGGAAACUUAUUUGCGAUUUAUGCCGUCAUUGCCGUCAUUUGGCCAAUUACGAAGUCUUGUCGUAGAAGACUAUUCAUGUACGACGGAGGGAGACCCCAGAGUGGAACAGGAAGGAUUAAAUAUUGACUAAGAUAUGUACUCCGGCUAUGAAAACCAUGAACGCCCCUCCUGAUCAAAUGGGCAAAUACUCGUAUGUCGCAUUCUAUGAUCGUUUUGGGGAAACUUUGUACUCUAUGGUUCUUGGAAUUCGUGUAAAAGAGGGAGUGGGAUCAGAAGAAUGAAAAGCCAAUUUAGAAAAGGAAGGCCGCAGAUGAACUAUUAGACAAUUUAGAAACAAAGAGAAAGAACAGAGGAGUUACAUAAAUGCCAAUUUAGAAGCACAGAGAAAUGUCGACUUCCAGGAGGAGGUCACAGACGAAUUAAUGAAAACAGAGCAAAAUUCUGACUGCUACACUGGAAAAUGCUGGCGACGGCCGGAAGAGAGCAACAAAUAUUAAUAUUUGCCCAUAACAAAAGAAAUAAACAGAUUGUGUAUUCCAGAG